rnacentral:rRNA from 1 species
UGCAGUCGACGGAAAGGCCCUUCGGGGUACUCGAGUGGCGAACGGGUGAGUAACACGUGGGUGAUCUGCCCUGCACUUUGGGAUAAGCCUGGGAAACUGGGUCUAAUACCGAAUAUGAUCAUGGCCUUCAUGGGUUGUGGUGGAAAGCUUUUGCGGUGUGGGAUGGGCCCGCGGCCUAUCAGCUUGUUGGUGGGGUAAUGGCCUACCAAGGCGACGACGGGUAGCCGGCCUGAGAGGGUGUCCGGCCACACUGGGACUGAGAUACGGCCCAGACUCCUACGGGAGGCAGCAGUGGGGAAUAUUGCACAAUGGGCGCAAGCCUGAUGCAGCGACGCCGCGUGAGGGAUGACGGCCUUCGGGUUGUAAACCUCUUUCAGCAGGGACGAAGCGCAAGUGACGGUACCUGUAGAAGAAGGACCGGCCAACUACGUGCCAGCAGCCGCGGUAAUACGUAGGGUCCGAGCGUUGUCCGGAAUUACUGGGCGUAAAGAGCUCGUAGGUGGUUUGUCGCGUUGUUCGUGAAAACUCACAGCUUAACUGUGGGCGUGCGGGCGAUACGGGCAGACUUGAGUACUGCAGGGGAGACUGGAAUUCCUGGUGUAGCGGUGGAAUGCGCAGAUAUCAGGAGGAACACCGGUGGCGAAGGCGGGUCUCUGGGCAGUAACUGACGCUGAGGAGCGAAAGCGUGGGGAGCGAACAGGAUUAGAUACCCUGGUAGUCCACGCCGUAAACGGUGGGUACUAGGUGUGGGUUUCCUUCCUUGGGAUCCGUGCCGUAGCUAACGCAUUAAGUACCCCGCCUGGGGAGUACGGCCGCAAGGCUAAAACUCAAAGAAAUUGACGGGGGCCCGCACAAGCGGCGGAGCAUGUGGAUUAAUUCGAUGCAACGCGAAGAACCUUACCUGGGUUUGACAUGCACAGGACGUGCCUAGAGAUAGGUAUUCCCUUGUGGCCUGUGUGCAGGUGGUGCAUGGCUGUCGUCAGCUCGUGUCGUGAGAUGUUGGGUUAAGUCCCGCAACGAGCGCAACCCUUAUCUUAUGUUGCCAGCGC